rnacentral:rRNA from 1 species
UACGAAGGGGGCUAGCGUUGCUCGGAAUCACUGGGCUUAAAGCGCACGUAGGCGGAUUGUUAAGUCAGGGGUGAAAUCCUGGAGCUCAACUCCAGAACUGCCUUUGAUACUGGCGAUCUUGAGUCCGGGAGAGGUGAGUGGAACUGCGAGUGUAGAGGUGAAAUUCGUAGAUAUUCGCAAGAACACCAGUGGCGAAGGCGGCUCACUGGCCCGGUACUGACGCUGAGGUGCGAAAGCGUGGGGAGCAAACAGG